GAGGAACAAAUGGAAACCGAGCAGU
rnacentral:piRNA from 1 species